GCUGAAGACUGCCAGGGGUGGAUAAGGCAGGCCAAGCGUUUCUAUCCAAGGUGCAGAGACAUCUCAGCUGAAGACUGCCAGGGGUGGAUAAGGCAGGCCAAGCGUUUCUAUCCAAGGUGCAGAGACAUCUCAGCUGAAGACUGUCAGGGGUGGAUGAGGCAGGCCAAGCGUUUCUAUCCAAGGUGCAGAGACAUCUCAGCUGAAGACUGCCAGGGGUGGAUGAGGCAGGCCAAGCGUUUCUAUCCAAGGUGCAGAGACAUCUCAGCUGAAGACUGCCAGGGGUGGAUAAGGCAGGCCAAGCGUUUCUAUCCAAGGUGCAGAGACAUCUCAGCUGAAGACUGCCAGGGGUGGAUGAGGCAGGCCAAGCGUUUCUAUCCAAGGUGCAGAGACAUCUCAGCUGAAGACUGUCAGGGGUGGAUGAGGCAGGCCAAGCGUUUCUAUCCAAGGUGCAGAGACAUCUCAGCUGAAGACUGCCAGGGGUGGAUGAGGCAGGCCAAGCGUUUCUAUCUAAGGUGCAGAGACAUCUCAGCUGAAGACUGCCAGGGGUGGAUGAGGCAGGCCAAGCGUUUCUAUCUAAGGUGCAGAGACAUCUCAGCUGAAGACUGCCAGGGGUGGAGGAGGCAGCCCAAGCGUUUCUAUCCAAGGUGCAGAGACAUCUCAGCUGAAGACUGCCAGGGGUGGAUGAGGCAGCCCAAGCGUUUCUAUCCAAGGUGCAGAGACAUCUCAGCUGAAGACUGCCAGGGGUGGAUGAGGCAGCCCAAGCGUUUCUAUCUAAGGUGCAUAGCGAGAGACGACAUAAGAUGUGAUGUGGACGAGAACAUGGUAUAGAUUAGAACAGGACUGGACAUGUUUGUGUUUUCCCCUUCUCUGCCUUUUUUUACAGUAAUUGUGUUUUAUUUUUACACAUUGGGAACCAAAAGUCAUGUAUGUUGGAUGUUUUGUUGUUGAUCACUGGCAGUAAUUUCAUCUUGCUAAAUAAAGCUUUUACUGCAGCAAUUCUGUCACUUACUAUUCUUUUCUAUUGUACAUUCUACAAAAUAAAGAUGACUCAUUCACUUUUAGAUAGUGUGUUGCCAAAAAUGCACACAAUUGACACUCAACCCAAAAAUGUAGAGUGGUUUACAGUAAAUGGAAACUGAAUUAAAAAAGAACAAUGGAUUUCAUAUUAUCUAUUGUAUGCAGGUUCUGAAACAUGAAAAGGAUUGCAGUUUUUGUAAUGCCAUCAACUGUUAGUAUUUUGAAAGUCAUUGUGCUAUGAUUGACGAUAUGUUCCUCGUGGAUAGAAAACAUGUGCUAGUGUUUUGACAGAAUGAUUAGAUAUUCAGUCGGGUUUGCCGUGUUUUGAUAGAGUUACUGUACGUCGAGAAAGUUUUUUUGCAUUUUGAAAUGUAGAGAUGGUAUUUAAUGAACAAAAUGAGGUUUUGAGCAGAAAAUGAACUAUUUGACUAAUUGUGUGAUGUAGGUGUGUUGCUCUGUUAAGAGUUUAUAAAAAAGUACCUUAACUAUAGGUAAACGCUUGUUAGCAAUCGUUAAAAAAAAAAGGUUUGAAAAUUUUAAAAAGACUGUAAGCCAUGAUUUGUUGUCAAUGGGAGAAUGGGAGUGUGAUACCUAAACCCGAGUUAGCCGAAGGAUCUCAAGUUAGGAGUCAGUUCAGGAGUCCGUGUUGGCCCAGACAUGAUUGAGACGGUUGUAUAGAUUUGAUUUAGCCUGGUCCUAGAUAUGUUUGUGCUGUCUUGCCAGCUCCUAUGGUCAUUGACAUUGACACAUAUAGAUCUUGGACCAGGCUGGAUGUGCUUGUCUUAUUUGCUGUGGUCCAGGUGCGGAACAUCUUUCAGAUGGUUGUUGGACAUGUGUUUGUCUUGUUGGUAAAACUUUACUUACGAUGAUGGUAUGUAACAUUCAUAAAGUAUUCAUAAAACCUUGAUAUCCAUGACAUGAAUGUCUAUACUUCUCUGUUACAACAUAUACAGUAUUUACCCUACUCUG